CUUUCGGUACCUCCCCUCGACCAGUAUAAAUAGACGACCAUGUCCUCCAGACACAGUCAGUAGUAGUGCCAAUAAGUAUAACGAAUCAAUCUAACGAAUCAGCAUAACAAUUAGUAUCAGUACCGCAGUAUCGCGCAAUCUUAUAACGAAUACCAUCAAGCAAGCAACGCUUGCGAUUAACUUUGUUGUUGUUAUUUCUGUAUUCAGAGAUGGACUAGGGAUUGUAUCUAGAAUUAUCUUUUAGUUACUAUUUAUUGUAACUGGCGCUCUGCAUAUGGAUGGCGAACGCGAACUCACG
rnacentral:misc_RNA from 1 species